rnacentral:rRNA from 1 species
AUUGAACGCUGGCGGCAUGCCUUACACAUGCAAGUCGAACGGCAGCGGACCUUCGGGUGCCGGCGAGUGGCGAACGGGUGAGUAAAGUAUCGGAACGUACCAUUCAGUGGGGGAUAACGUAGCGAAAGUUACGCUAAUACCGCAUAUUCUGUGAGCAGGAAAGCAGGGGAUCUUCGGACCUUGCGCUGAUUGAGCGGCCGAUAUCAGAUUAGCUAGUUGGUGAGGUAAAGGCUCACCAAGGCGACGAUCUGUAGCGGGUCUGAGAGGAUGAUCCGCCACACUGGAACUGAGACACGGUCCAGACUCCUACGGGAGGCAGCAGUGGGGAAUUUUGGACAAUGGGGGCAACCCUGAUUCAGCCAUGCCGCGUGAGUGAAGAAGGCCUUCGGGUUGUAAAGCUCUUUCGGCCGGGAAAAAAUCGCGCAGGCUAAUAUCCUGUGUGGAUGAUGGUACCGGAAUAAGAAGCACCGGCUAACUACGUGCCAGCCGCCGCCGUAAAAC